UACGUAGGGGGCAAGCGUUGUCCGGAAUCAUUGGGCGUAAAGGGCUCGUAGGCGGUCCAUCACGUCGGGAGUGAAAAGCUGGGGCUUAACCCCAGUCCUGCUUCCGAUACGGGUGGACUAGAGGUAGGCAGGGGAGAACGGAAUUCCUGGUGUAGCGGUGAAAUGCGCAGAUAUCAGGAGGAACACCGGUGGCGAAGGCGGUUCUCUGGGCCUUACCUGACGCUGAGGAGCGAAAGCGUGGGGAGCGAACAGG
rnacentral:rRNA from 1 species